GGUGUUAUGGCUUAAAGGUAGAGCGCACCCAGGACACAACUUCACCUGGCCACUUUUGGUCUUCUUCGGACCACUAGUCGCGAGAAGUCGGGUGGUUGGGCAACUCGGUGAGAUUGCUGGUUCGAAUCCAGCCAACUCCA